GACCUCUCUUCAUUAACCUAGCAAUUUACCAUGACAUUGGGUGGUGGAUUUAUCACAGAACCUGCUAUGAAGUGGUCUCUGGGGGCAACAGAACUAAAGGGAAUAAAUUUGUACUCUUCAUCUUUCCCACUGAUCCUAUCAUACAGAUCUUUCCCCCAGUUGCCAUGAAAACUGUUCUGUCCACGUAGAGAAUUUUGCUGGAUGGAGGUUCUGGACUAGUUCUUAAAUUUCAAUGCUGGCUCACCUGAUCGUUGUGGUUCAUCUUCAUCUCAUCUAUUUGUGCCAGAGUGACUUGUCAUCUCCACAGGAGAUUGCCUGCUGCCACCUGAUACCGAGUUUGUUGUUCAAUAGUCUUUUCCCAGAAGUUUCUCAGGUCACUGGUUUCACACCCCCUCACUUCAUGACGUAUGUAUUGACUGUUCAUUUUCUGUGAAAGAGAAAUGUG